UGGCGAAGCCAUAGUCUUUCCAAAUGGAGGCAAUUUUGACCGGAAAUGGCGAUAGGGACUACGAUUAUGUACGAGCCUCGUCUCUAUGAUUCCAGCGACCGAAUAAACAGCGAGACUUCGACAAACUUCGGAAAUGGUCGGUUUGCUUCGGGAGGGAUCGUACGGUGACUUCGGUGCAACUUGGUGACGCUUCGGAAAGGGCAUUCGUCUCGGAAAGGCUGAGCCGAGCGGGCAGGCGGGGCUGCCUCCCCGCUCGGCUCUCCGCCGCUGCCGCUCGGCUCGGCACCCAGCGAAUCGGGCGGUGACGAGCGGGGACUCUCGUCCCUUCGCCGCUGCCGCCCGCCUCAGGGGCGCCUGUUUGAGCUGCAGGAGGCAAUCCAGGAGUUGCAGACCGAGAAUACACAACUCCAGGGGGAAAUCCAGAAUCUCACAGAGGCCCUGAGUGAACUCCAGCUCUUCGUAUGGAAUCAUUCGCAGGGUUCCGAAUCUGCUGCUGAACACCAACAUGAGCACCUGCAAUGCCACCCAAAUGCCCACUGGCGCAAUGCUGUUGCGCCCAUCAUCUUGGCACCCUUGGUGAUAUGGCUUCUUGCUUCUGUGUCCUUGAUGGCAACAUUGACAAAAGGUUGAGGAAGAGACCUCCUGUUUUGGAUGUGGAGGGAUCACAGGAGCAAUACUCCUCUUUCUCUCCGAGGGCCGCUCUGAUAUUUCCAAGCGCUUCUUACAGAUCCUACCGCAUCUUCCAUUAAAGCUUCCCUGUGGCA